UCCAUCAUGGUGUAGUGGCUAACAUUAUCGCCUCUCAUAUCGUUAAAAGAGUAGUAUCUGCGCGAUAGCCCAGGGUUCGAUUCCCUGUGAUGGAA